rnacentral:rRNA from 1 species
GGAUAAACGCUGGCGGCAUGCCUAAUACAUGCAAGUCGAACGGGAGUGCUUGCACUCCAGUGGCGAACGGGUGAGUAACACGUAUCUAACCUACCUUUUAGUGGGGGAUAACUUUUGGAAACGAAAGAUAAUACCGCAUAUUAAUAUCAUUAUCGCAUGAGAAGAUAUUCAAAGAUCCGUUUGGAUCGCUAAAAGAUGGGGAUGCGGCGUAUUAGUUAGUAGGCGGGGUAAUGGCCCACCUAGACAAUGAUACGUAGCCGAACUGAGAGGUUGAUCGGCCACAUUGGGACUGAGAUACGGCCCAGACUCCUACGGGAGGCAGCAGUAGGGAAUUUUUCACAAUGGACGAAAGUCUGAUGAAGCAAUGCCGCGUGAGUGAUGACGGCCUUCGGGUUGUAAAGCUCUGUUGUAAGGGAAGAAAAAAUUUGAGAGGAAAUGCUCUUAUCUUGACGGUACCUUACCAGAAAGCCACGGCUAACUAUGUGCCAGCAGCCGCGGUAAUACAUAGGUGGCAAGCGUUAUCCGGAUUUAUUGGGCGUAUAGGGUGCGUAGGCGGUUUCGCAAGUUUGAGGUUAAAGCCCGGAGCUCAACUCCGGUUCGCCUUGAAAACUGUGGGACUAGAAUAUCAGAGAGGUAAACGGAAUUCCAUGUGUAGCGGUAAAAUGCGUAGAUAUAUGGAAGAACACCAGUGGCGAAAGCGGUUUACUGGCUGAUUAUUGACGCUGAGGCACGAAAGCGUGGGGAGCAAAUAGGAUUAGAUACCCUAGUAGUCCACGCCGUAAACGUUGAGUACUAAGUAUUGGGGAUUACCUCAGUGCUGCAGCUAACGCAUUAAGUACUCCGCCUGAGUAGUAUGCUCGCAAGAGUGAAACUCAAAGGAAUUGACGGGGACCCGCACAAGUGGUGGAGCAUGUGGUUUAAUUCGAAGCAACACGAAGAACCUUACCAGGGCUUGACAUCCAGUGCAAAGCUACAGAGAUGUAGUGGAGGUAAACAUUGAGACAGGUGGUGCAUGGUUGUCGUCAGUUCGUGCCGUGAGGUGUUGGGUUAAGUCCCGCAACGAACGCAACCCUUGUCGUUAGUUACUAACAUUAAGUUGAGGACUCUAACGAGACUGCUAGUGUAAGCUAGAGGAAGGUGGGGAUGACGUCAAAUCAUCAUGCCCCUUAUGUCCUGGGCUACACACGUGCUACAAUGGCUGGUACAAAGAGUCGCAAUCUCGCGAGGGGGAGCUAAUCUCAAAAAACCAGUCUCAGUUCGGAUUGAAGUCUGCAACUCGACUUCAUGAAGCCGGAAUCACUAGUAAUCGCGGAUCAGCUAUGCCGCGGUGAAUACGUUCUCGGGUCUUGUACACACCGCCCGUCAAACCACGAGAGUUGGUAAUACCAGAAGUACGUAGCCUAACCGUAAGGAAGGCGCGUCCCAAGGUAGGACUAGCGAUUGGGGUUAAGUCGUAACAAGGUAUCCGUACGGGAACGUGCGGAUGGAUCACCUCCUUUCU